AUGAUGGGGGCAUUCGAUCCAGCUUGGGAGUGGGGACGGAUUGCGGGUGGUGGAGUCUGGGAGGUCUGCUCAUUAUAUUACCUUUAGGCUGCCCCUUAAAGAGUGUGAAGGAGAAGACAGAACAUGGAGGGGCGGGUGGAAGGGUUGAAGCCAACAUCCCAGGCAGAAGGGGCAGUGUGAGCAAAGGCAUGGAGGGAGGACUCAGGCAGGGAGUGGGUGAGGGGAUGAAGGUGGGAGAGAGAGGCAGGAAUAGCCCUUGCCUGCCGCACCCAUGGUGCCAAGAGCCUAUGACCUGGGGAUGAGCAGCACAUGAGGGGUUUUAAACAGGGAGCACCUCUGCAGGGAGGUGGUUGUAAUCCUCCCGUGGGAGACACCCUGAGGAGGGUAGAGGUGACUUCGGUGGCUGAUCAGGGAGGGCACCCCCUGCCUCUCCUGGCCACACUGGGUGGGGGGGGGACUAGGGAGGCGAGGUUCCUGCCCUCCUGCAGCUUUGGUUCUAGUUAAGUGCUCAUUUUCCAAGCGCUUUCCACCUGUGGCUCUUCCGCUGGUUAACACAAUCCACAAGACCUGUGAGGUCGGGGCUCUUGUCAUCCCAAGUGGAUAUUUGCCUGAGCCUCCAACUGGCCUUCCAGAUUCUUCUCUCUCCUGCAUUCUCAUCAGCCAGAGUGAGCCUGUUAAAAUGUGAGCUGAAUCUUAUUACCUUUUGGCUCAAAACCCUGCAGACUCCGUUUUAUUCGGCGAAAGAAGCCAAAGUCCAUACAAUGGCCUUAAAAGGCCCUGCACCAUCUGUGUUGCCUGAUCUCCCUAACUCAAUGACCUCUGACCCCACCUUGACCACUCAGCUCCAGCCACACUGGCUUCUCUGUUCCUCGCGGGUGCGCUCCCACCUCAGGGCCUUUGCACGUACGGUCCUCUCUUCCUAGAGUCCUCUUCCCCCAGAUGUGGCAUGCGUGGCUCUCUCACCUUUAAGUUUUGUUACCGUCUCAGCAAGGCUGCUUGACUAUAUUGCAUUUACAAUCAACACCCUGCACUCGGGCUCCUCUGCACUCGGGUCCUCUUUUCACCAUCCUUCUUUUUUUCCCAUAGCACAUGCCACCGUCUAACAUACUCUAGAAACAGGUCUGUCCAAUAGAACUAUGAUGUGAAUGAACCAUGUAUUGUAGUUUAAAGUGUUCUCUGAGCCAGAUGUUGAAAGGUAAAAGAAACAGGUGAUGUUUAAUUUAAUCAUAUAUUUUACUUAACCCCAACAUAUCUAAAAUAUCAUCGAAUCAAUCUAAAAAUGAUUAGUGAGAGAUUUCAUGUUUUUCGGUAUUAAGUCUUCGAAUCUGAUGUGUAUUUUGCUUUUAUCAAACUUCUCAAUUGGGAGUAGCAACAUGUCAAGUGUGCAUAUGAGGCUGGUGCCUACCGUUCUGGACAGUGUUGCUUUAAAAUUUACCCCUCCUCUUAUUUCCCCCACUACUAGAAUGCAAGCAAUGUGAGGGCAGAGAUUUUUAUCUGUUUUGUUCAAUGUUGUACAUUGUAUCUCCAGCUCCUAGAACGUGCCUGGGACAUGCUCAAUAAACAUUUGUUAUCUGACUGACAUUGUUGAAACUG
rnacentral:lncRNA from 1 species